rnacentral:rRNA from 1 species
UACAGAGGUCUCAAGCGUUGUUCGGAUUUAUUGGGCGUAAAGAGCGUGUAGGCGGCCAGGUAGGUCUGCUGUGAAAACUCGAGGCUUAACCUCGAGCUGUCGGCGGAAACCAUCUGGCUAGAGUCCGGAAGAGGAGAAUGGAAUUCCCGGUGUAGCGGUGAAAUGCGCAGAUAUCGGGAAGAACACCCGUGGCGAAGGCGGUUCUCUGGGACGGUACUGACGCUGAGACGCGAAAGCGUGGGGAGCGAACAGG